UAAUUUUUCUGAAUUUCAGAUUUAUUGAGACCAUGGAGAAACUUUUAGAGAGGGAAAUCGGGCAAAUGAAAUAAUUAUUUUUGGGGUAGCGAGAUUUGGAAUAUUAUCUUUUCAAAGCCACGUAUUGCACAGAACACAGUGGGAGACUGUGCCAGGUGUUUUAGCUCUGCUCAGUGGACAUGAGAAACACAAAUGCAAAUAUCGGCAAUACUUCAAAAACAAACAAA